rnacentral:rRNA from 1 species
AGUGAACGCUGGCGGUAGGCCUAACACAUGCGAGUCGAACGGCAGCACAGUAAGAGCUUGCUCUUACGGGUGGCGAGUGGCGGACGGGUGAGGAAUACAUCGGAAUCUACUUUUUCGUGGGGGAUAACGUAGGGAAACUUACGCUAAUACCGCAUACGACCUACGGGUGAAAGCAGGGGAUCUUCGGACCUUGCGCGAUUGAAUGAGCCGAUGUCGGAUUAGCUAGUUGGCGGGGUAAAGGCCCACCAAGGCGACGAUCCGUAGCUGGUCUGAGAGGAUGAUCAGCAACACUGGAACUGAGACACGGUCCAGACUCCUACGGGAGGCAGCAGUGGGGAAUAUUGGACAAUGGGCGCAAGCCUGAUCCAGCCAUACCGCGUGGGUGAAGAAGGCCUUCGGGUUGUAAAGCCCUUCUGUUGGGAAAGAAAAGCAGCAGGUUAAUACCCCGCUGUUCUGACGGUACCCAAAGAAUAAGCACCGGCUAACUUCGUG